CCGCUCCGAGCGAGCGCCAUGAAACGACGAAACGGAACGUCCGGAACGUCGGAACGCCGGAACGACGCGCCGCGAGCUGGCCGAGCGCACCUGGAUCGCACCGUGUCCCGUUUCUCCGAUGUGACUUUUAGGCGUGUCCCGGCGCCGUCGGCGGAAUUAAGGGUGCGUCAGAAUUAAGUGACAGGUCGGACCCGCGGCGCGGUGUGGCGCUGCGAUUGUUUCACUUUCCGCUUUCGUGGCGAGCGCGAUCACGCACGGCGCGCAAUUGCGGCUCGAGAGAUCGCUCCGCGUUAAUCGAUCUCGCCGGCGGACCCAGCGCGCACGCUGAUGGAGGUGGAGGUGCACGGCUAAGCACCGGGCUAAGUAGAUGUCAAUGCGUUCCCACGUGUCCGCGUCUCGUCCACUUUCGUGCACGGGGCACCGAGAGGAGGAAAACGGACGUCUGUCAUUUCGCAAGUUUCACCACGUUGGCAAAUUCCGAAACAUGGACUCGGUGUUUCCGGCAAGAGAGAAGGAGAGAGCCUUCGUGUGUCGCGAACCCGAGGAGCACGAGGCAAGGAGAGACGUGUCUCUCCUAAUUUGAGAACGAGCUCGUCCUCGACGCAGCAGCCGAUACACCCGCCGGUGGCCCCCCGACGUCGAGACGCUCAAGCACGCACGUGAAUACAAUGAGAAUGACGGUCGGUUUACCGUGUGCAGCUUACCCGCAAAAAUUGCAGAUUCCGCGGAUUUACGACACCCGCCCCGAGACCUCUGAGUUAUGGCGCCUCGUACCCCCUGCCGCAUUUGCAAACCCGUCGCG